AUGUGAUCGUCUCUCGCAUAUCAAUAAGCGGAGGAAAAGAAACUAACAAGGAUUCCCCUAGUAACGGCGAGUGAAGCGGGAAGAGCUCAAAUUUGAAAUCUUAAAGGGUUUCCCUUUACGAAUUGUAGUUUAAAGAAGUGUUUUCUGUUGAGGUUUUGGUAAAAGUUCUUUGGAAUAGGACAUCAUAGAGGGUGAGAAUCCCGUAUUUGACCUUUACUUUCAACUUUGUGAUACACUUUCAAAGAGUCGGAUUGUUUGGGAAUGCAGUCCAAAAUGGGUGGUAAAUUUCAUCUAAAGCUAAAUAUUGGCGAGAGACCGAUAGCGAACAAGUACCGUGAGGGAAAGAUGAAAAGAACUUUGAAAAGAGAGUUAAACAGUACGUGAAAUUGUCAAAAGGGAAGCGUUUGACACCAGUGUUGUUUUUCUGAAAAUCAAUUAAAGAACUGUUUAUGCUAAGCUGGUUAGACUUUAUCAGCUAAUCUGUUUAGUUUUGAGCUUUUCUUUAAUGCACUUUUCAGUUAACAAGUCAACAUCAAUUUCUUUUGCUGUAAAAAAGCUUGAGGAAGGUGGCUUGAGAUUCGUCUUAAGUGUUUAUAGCCUCUUGCCUAUGCAGUCGGAGAGAUUGAGGUCUGCAGCGUAGAUCCUUCGGGGCUAAAUGCAUUUGUGCUAAGUUAUAGCAUUUUAUAGACAACUUGUUGACUAUGAUUUGUCUUGUAGCUUACUCGCUUAUGUUAUUUUACCUACGCUUAGGAUGUUGAGCGCAUGUCUCUCUCU
rnacentral:rRNA from 1 species